rnacentral:rRNA from 1 species
CAGAACGUCGUGAGACAGUUCGGUUUCUAUCUACCGUUAACGUAUUAAAAUUGAAAGGAUCUAAUCCUAGUACGAAAGGACUGGAAAAGGAAUAUCACUGGUGUAUUGGUUGUAAUGGCAAUUGCAUAGCCAAGUAGCUAAAUAUUAAAAAUAUAAUUAUUGAAAUCAACUCAAAUAAGAAGAUUACCUUAAGAAAAUUUUAAAUUGGUUAACUGUGAAAGAUUAUCACUUUGUUAAGUAAUGUAUAUAAGCUUUGUGA